UCUCUCACUCUCCUCCAGAACUCCAAACACCAGCGUCUCACCACUUCAGAAACUGCGGGAAUGCGAAGAUGAGAGCUCCUACUCUUGCUUCCAAGUUCAGCAGUGGCUUGUUACUAGCGAACUGCAGAAGCCACGGUCGACCCGUUGCCUUAUUGCGGAACCCAGCGCCGUCGCCAGCUCGCCUCGUCGCGACUCCUUUGCGUUCAAGAACUGUAAAGACCGCGGCUUUCGAGUGUGACUUCUCCAAAUCAGACGCUGCCGGCGCUCCUUCGCCCAUUUCGGUUAAUGGCUUGCCGGAGUACAAUCGGUUAUUACCUUGCCCUUCACAUAGUGGUCCUCCAAGAAUCGAGCACUUGGUUGUACCCAAAGAAGAAGAAGGACCUGUUUUAGAUUACAUCUGUAAAGCUCUGGAUCUUCCUCCAUUGUUUGUUGCAGAUCUUAUCCACUUUGGAGCUGUACAUUAUGCACUGGUUACCCCACAACCUCCACCAACUGCGACUCCAGAGCAGAUCAGAGUAUUUAAGGAAGUCACAAAGCCAUCGGUUUUGAGAAAGAGAGCAUCUAUCAAAGGGAAGACUGUAAGAGAAGCACAGAAGACAUUCCGGAUAACUGACCCUGGGCAAUUUGUUGAAGCAGGAAUGUACUUGCGUGUUCAUGUUCACCCUAAGCGAUUUCCAAGGUGCUAUGAGAUUGAUUGGAAAUCAAGAAUCAUUGCUGUAGCUGAAUCCUAUGUAGUUUUGGACAAACCUGCUGGUACAUCUGUUGGAGGAACCACGGAUAACAUUGAAGAGACUUGUGCAACUUUUGCUACUCGUGCUUUAGGAUUAGUUGAACCACUUAAAACUACUCAUCAGAUUGAUAAUUGCUCAGAAGGAUGUGUUGUGUUAGCCAGGACAAAGGAGUACUGCUCGGUUUUUCAUGGUAAAAUCAGAGAAAAAAAGGUGAAGAAGCUUUAUCAUGCUCUUGCUGUUGCACCUGUGCCCCUUGGAAUAAUUACACACUACAUGCGCCCAGUCAACAUGGCUCCAAGGCUUGUUACUGAAGAGUUCAUAAAAGGAUGGUAUCUCUGCCAACUUGAGGUCAUGGAAUGCAAGGAAGUUGCCUGGCCAGACUCUGUUGUUGAAUCUGAGUAUUGUGUUGAAGACUGCGGGUGGACCAAGAAGGAUGUUGCCUACGAAUGCAAAAUUAACCUCCUGACCGGUCGUACUCAUCAGAUUCGUGCCCAGUUGGCUGCUUGUGGUGCACCAAUUGUGGGUGAUUCUGCAUACAUGCCAGCUGCAAUUGCAGAGAUGGUUAAUCCUGGUAUCAACCCACUUGGCAAAUUUAAGAAACUAUAUGCUAGUGAGGAUGACAAGGCAGUUGCUAUAGCGGAGUGGAUUGCGCAGCAUGGGAAGGAGCCAACUUUAGCAAUUGGUCUUCAAGCGUGCCAAAUUUCAUGGGACGAUGGGGAACAUGUUUAUGAGGCUAGAGAUCCCUGGUGGCGAUGAAGAUAGCUUCUCACUGCCCCUUCUUAGUAAGAAUCAGUGAGGAUGCUUAUAUGCCUUAGUUCAGGACCAUUAAAAAUUUGCGUGUGAUAAGAUCAUGUUAUGAGCUACUAUGAAGGGCUCCAUCUCCGAAUCUCCAAGGGUGCAGUUUCCAAAUGGAGCAGAGCAGCGGGCAGGUGGAAAUUCACCCCAGCGGUAUGCCAAUGUUGCUUGGAUAUUCGGCUCAUUGAAGGUGACCCAAUACUUUACCCGGUCUCCAAAGUACCUAAAGCAAAUAUCUGCAAAAUAUCCAAAAUCCUCCCUACAAAAAGAAAAAAAACAAGUGGAUCCACUGUAGUUUCUGAAGAAUUUUCCUUUUGAAAAAUUUCCAUACUGUUCUACAUUGUUAUUCACGGAGCUUAAUGGACGUUAGGACAACAUACUGUGAUUUUGGACUGAGCCAGCCUCCGUAUCUAUCCUCAAGUUCUUGUGGUAUGUCAAAGUGAGUCAAUGUUACAAAGGGUUGUAUUCCUGUAACGUUAGAGAAGAAGAUUGUUAUUUGCAGAUGAUGAAGAUUAUCAUCAGUUGGUUUUGUGUGGGAUUGAUGCGAAGAAAGGAAGUGUACCCUUUUGAAGGAGACUAUUGAUGAGUCUGUUAUAGUAGUGUAUUCCA